GAUGAACGCUGGCGGCGUGCCUAAUACAUGCAAGUCGAGCGAAUGGAUUAAGAGCUUGCUCUUAUGAAGUUAGCGGCGGACGGGUGAGUAACACGUGGGUAACCUGCCCAUAAGACUGGGAUAACUCCGGGAAACCGGGGCUAAUACCGGAUAACAUUUUGAACCGCAUGGUUCGAAAUUGAAAGGCGGCUUCGGCUGUCACUUAUGGAUGGACCCGCGUCGCAUUAGCUAGUUGGUGAGGUAACGGCUCACCAAGGCAACGAUGCGUAGCCGACCUGGGAGGGUGAUCGGCAACACGGGGAUUGAGACACGGCCCAGACUCCUACGGGAGGCAGCAGUAGGGAAUCUUCCGCAAUGGACGAAAGUCUGACGGAGCAACGCCGCGUGAGUGAUGAAGGCUUUCGGGUCGUAAAACUCUGUUGUUAGGGAAGAACAAGUGCUAGUUGAAUAAGCUGGCACCUUGACGGUACCUAACCAGAAAGCCACGGCUAACUACGUGCCAGCCGCCGCCGUAA
rnacentral:rRNA from 1 species